UGUAGCAUGUUGUGCACUUACCUGUUGAAGGAGCCAUUUCAGUAACCGAAAAAUACAUAUGAAAUAUCUAGCUAAUUUGCUGCUGCUGUGUAGAGUUUCAUGAAUGAUAAGUGUUGAAGGCUACUUUUUUGCAGUCUGGUAGGAUACUGAUUGAUUUUGUUGGCAAUUGAUAUGAAGAUUCUUGAAAGAGGACAGUGGCAUGUUUAGGUCCCUUGUUCACCAAGAAAGCAGCACAUUCUCCUGAUUGUUCUUCGAAGACAUAAGCCUGGUGGAAAAACAUUGAAACCGUUGGCCCAAAGAGAUAAUAGUUUGGUCUCCAGAAAGUAGAGCACUGGAGGCUAGCUUCACUGCAGCAUGCAAUUCCUUAAGAUGACCCCAUUUUGGUUGCCUUAUUGAACCUGUAGAACUCAUCAGCUAAACAGUUUCAAAUACCAAAUACAAGAAGAUGCAAAUAUGCUCCAGGAAAAAGAUUGUAGAAAAUCUUACCGUACUCAUCAAGAGGAGCUUCGUCAUAAUAACUAGUCACCACAAAUGCAGAAGCUGUUCUUCCGAAAUUGGUUCCUCCAUGAUACUGGAUCAAAACCGUAUUCGCAACCUGAUAUGCAAUUUCUUCAGCUGAUCUUAUGUAUGGUUCACCACCGUACACUUGGUAUCUUCAAAAUCAAAAACAUAAUUUUGGCAUAAGUUCAGAAAGAAAGGAAAAAUAAAUUUUUAGUCAGAUAUUAUGAUAAGGACAGGCAUAUCAGGAACAAUGAAGACAUACUGGCUUGUCCAGUUCUCUGUCCAAAGUGAUGGCUUAAUAGGGGAAUUAGGACCAGCAAAAGUUUCUCCACAAUUCAUCCCAUUGCAUGAGUUGAUCUGCAGAUUGCAGGAUUCAACUUGUCAAAGAAUGAGAAUAAAACCGAGUUCAUGGUUCAAUUCGACAAUAGAAUAUGACGACGUAACAUGUCAAACUGUCAAGCAAACUUCACAAGUGCCCGUGAAAGCUUAGAAAGGCUAUUGACCCUACUAUUCAAAGGAAAGAAAACUAACCACAGGGUCUGGAGCAUCAUCU